UUUAAUGUAUCAGGUACUUCGUACCGGUGAUUUCGUUAUAUCAAAUACUAUGUAUCGGUAACUAUAUUAUCAGCUCAUGGGAGUAGCAUCGAGUAAUAGUUUAUGUCCCUAUUUACGGCUUGUGUGAGCAAAGUUAUCCCGAGUAUUCGAAGUUAAUUUACUAUAGUUCCUCGGGCAACACUAAGUAUGAAAUUGAAUUGAGAUAAAAAGAUGUAUUUGAAUGGAAAUGUUAGCUAUGAACUGAAUAUGGUUGUUAUGCAUAUUAUGUUAUUUAUAUGUAUGGAAUGAUGUAAUAACCAAUUUGGUUAUGUCAUGAAAGGUGUAAGGUGAAAAUGGAAUAAUAUGUAUAUAUGUUAUUUUCAUUAGUUAAA